CCCUGUAAACUGCAUUUUCCUCAUUAAGAAACCAGAGCAAAGGAUAAAUACUUGCCAGUUGUCUCACCUUAAAAGAGAAUCUCAGAUUCCUGCAAUACUGUUGACCUAUUAUUCAUCAAGAGGAAUUUUUUUUCUUACUUUAUGAAGCAAUUCUUUGGAAGUUUGGUUGGUAUAACACUGAAUAUGCAAGUUAAUUUAGAAAACAACUUGAAAGGAAGGCUGACAGUUGAUUUUCAUAGGAGGAGGGGAAACCAGAAGUAAAACUGCCCAGAAGAGGGUGGACUGACCACCCUCUGCCUACUGCAUCAAGUCUCAGCCUGUGUAUAGGCCAACUUUGGCAUCCAGGAACCUUGUAUACACUAUGCCAGGAUAUUUCAUGCUGAUCUAAUAUAAAUAUAAACUCUCAUUUUGAUAUCCUCCAUUCCACUUGUUCUAUUACCCCUUCACCCUAGUCCAAUUCUGCUAUACAUUGAUGCCUAAACAUUAUUUCAAAGACACCUAUUAACAUUCACCAAGUAACAUUCAUUUUUCAAUAAAAAUUUCCAUGAAUGCA
rnacentral:lncRNA from 1 species